GGAGCAGAAGGGUCUUAUUCUCACAAUGCUGGUACGCUCUCUCGCGUACUCUGAACUUCCUUAUUGUUUUAGUUUGCUGGGUUACUGUUUCAAGUCAGGGCACCUUCACUCCGCUCUCCAAGUGUCUGUGAUAUAGGUCGCAGUUGUAAUUGAGAACUUGUUCUCAACUGACCUACCUGGUUAAAUAAAGCGUCUUGGAACUCUGAAAUCGGUACAGCCGAUCUGCCAACUUCUGUCUGAGGCGUCCGAAAAGUUUGGACUACACACUAAUAUUACCCAUCUGUGGAAAGGUGUCGCCCAUCUUCCCCAUUAUCCCCUGUGUAUUUAGACCUG